UACAGCCAUAUCACGUUGAAACAUUGGUUCCAGUACGAUCAUUGAAGUUAAACAACGUUGAACCUGUUCAGUACCUAGAUGGGUGACCACUGGGGAAUACUAGAUGCUGUAAG